GGGCGAGGGGGGUCUACAUGCAGUCGACGAACCUUCGGGUUAGUGGCGGACGGGUGAGUAACGCGUGAGAAUCUGCCCUCAGGAGGGGGAUAACGGUUGGAAACGACCGCUAAUACCCCAUAUGCCUACUGGUGAAAUGAAUUUCGCCUGAGGAUGAGCUCGCGUCUGAUUAGCUAGUUGGUGAGGUAAUGGCUCACCAAGGCUUCGAUCAGUAGCUGGUCUGAGAGGAUGAUCAGCCACACUGGGACUGAGACACGGCCCAGACUCCUACGGGAGGCAGCAGUGGGGAAUUUUCCGCAAUGGGCGAAAGCCUGACGGAGCAACGCCACGUGAGGGACGAAGGCCUCUGGGCUGUAAACCUCUUUUCUCAAGGAAGAAGAUAUGACGGUACUUGAGGAAUAAGCCACGGCUAAUUCCGUGCCAGCAGCCGCGGUAAUACGGGAGUGGCAAGCGUUAUCCGGAAUUAUUGGGCGUAAAGCGUCCGCAGGCGGCUUUUCAAGUCUGCUGUUAAAGCGUGGAGCUUAACUCCAUCAUGGCAGUGGAAACUGAAAGGCUUGAGUAUGGUAGGGGCAGAGGGAAUUCCCGGUGUAGCGGUGAAAUGCGUAGAUAUCGGGAAGAACACCAGUGGCGAAGGCGCUCUGCUGGGCCAUUACUGACGCUCAUGGACGAAAGCCAGGGGAGCGAAAGGGAUUAGAUACCCCUGUAGUCCUGGCCGUAAACGAUGAACACUAGGUGUCGGGGGAAUCGACCCCUUCGGUGUCGUAGCUAACGCGUUAAGUGUUCCGCCUGGGGAGUACGCACGCAAGUGUGAAACUCAAAGGAAUUGACGGGGGCCCGCACAAGCGGUGGAGU
rnacentral:rRNA from 1 species